GACGAACGCUGGCGGCGUGCUUAACACAUGCAAGUCGAACGGAAAGGCCCUGCUUGCAGGGUACUCGAGUGGCGAACGGGUGAGUAACACGUGGGUGAUCUGCCCUGCACUUCGGGAUAAGCCUGGGAAACUGGGUCUAAUACCGGAUAGGAGCCAUUCUUAGUGUGAUGGUUGGAAAGUUUUUUCGGUGUAGGAUGAGCUCGCGGCCUAUCAGCUUGUUGGUGGGGUAAUGGCCUACCAAGGCGGCGACGGGUAGCCGGCCUGAGAGGGUGGACGGCCACAUUGGGACUGGGAUACGGCCCAGACUCCUAAGGGAGGGAGCAGUGGGGAAUAUUGCAAAAUGGGGGGAAGCCUGAUGGAGCGACGCCGCGUGGGGGAUGACCGGCUUUGGGUUGUAAACUCCUUUCGCUCGGGACGAAGCUUUUUGUGACGGUAACUAGAUAAGAAGCACCGGCUAACUACGUG
rnacentral:rRNA from 1 species